rnacentral:rRNA from 1 species
UACGUAGGGGGCAAGCGUUGUCCGGAUUUAUUGGGCGUAAAGAGCGUGUAGGCGGCCAGACAAGUCUGCUGUGAAAACUCGAGGCUCAACCUCGAGCUGUCGGUGGAAACUGUCUGGCUAGAGUCCGGAAGAGGAGAGUGGAAUUCCUGGUGUAGCGGUGAAAUGCGCAGAUAUCAGGAAGAACACCGAUGGCGAAGGCAGCUCUCUGGGACGGUACUGACGCUGAGACGCGAAAGCGUGGGGAGCGAACAGG